rfam:Leclercia adecarboxylata strain I1 Leclercia_S84_R1__paired__contig_10, whole genome shotgun sequence.
AGUCAUGGUUACUAUUCUCUUUCAAUAGUGAUUGUGAUGAGCGAUACGGGCAUGUUGGCGCAUGCCCGUAUGGCGUU